rnacentral:rRNA from 1 species
UACAGAGGGGGCAAGCGUUGUUCGGAAUUACUGGGCGUAAAGGGCGCGUAGGCGGCCUUCUAAGUCGAACGUGAAAUCCCCGGGCUCAACCCGGGAACUGCGUCCGAUACUGGAAGGCUUGAAUCCGGGAGAGGGAUGUGGAAUUCCAGGUGUAGCGGUGAAAUGCGUAGAUAUCUGGAGGAACACCGGUGGCGAAGGCGAUAUCCUGGACCGGUAUUGACGCUGAGGCGCGAAAGCCAGGGGAGCAAACGGG